UCCAAGAAGGAAGCCAAGUGUGUACCUUAAAGAGUGGAGAAACAUGUGCCCGUUUUAAGGAUUCUUCCAAGCUGAAAGAGAAAAGUACUUCUGCCUCAGCAUCUCGGAGAAUGUAGUUCUGCUCAUCUGGAAAACAGAACAGCACAUACUCUAAAAAAUGUGGACACGUGAAGUGUGGCAGGUGUGACCCACAAAAUUCUCACCCAUAUUCAGCAUAUGGACCAGUCUGCUGACUGCUGGGCAGGAGCAACCACAUCAUGACAGAAACGCAGGGAUCUGUUCACCAACGGUGAGAAACACAAAUUCAAUCCCUAAGUCAACCAGCGGGUAGAAGGGCUCUUCAGGUGAAAGAAGAUAAAAAAGGUCUAAAAUUUGGAGAAAGAAAAAAUGAUGAAUUAAAAAA